rnacentral:rRNA from 1 species
GACGUAGGGGGCUAGCGUUGUCCGGAAUUACUGGGCGUAAAGAGCUCGUAGGCGGCCUGUUAAGUCGGGUGUGAAAGCCCUCGGCUCAACCGAGGAACUGCACUCGAUACUGGCGGGCUAGAGUCUGGUAGAGGGAGGUGGAAUUCCCGGUGUAGCGGUGAAAUGCGCAGAUAUCGGGAGGAACACCGGUGGCGAAGGCGGCCUCCUGGGCCACGAAUGACGCUGAGGAGCGAAAGCUGGGGGAGCGAACAGG